AAGAAGAGAGAAAGAGAAGAGCUGUGGCCCUUCGGGGAGCCCAGACCUAGAAACUCCCUAAGCCAGGGCUGCGACACCCUCUUUGGGGCUCUGUGGUUCCUGGUGUCUCCAAGCUUCUGGGUGCCACCACAUUGCCUGGUGGGAAGCUGCUUGCAGUAUGCCUGGUCCAGCCACAGCCUCACAGGGAGUCGGCACUGUGCCUGUGCCUGGAGAUGCCCACCCUGCCACAGGUGGCAUUGCCCAGGCUGGAGUGCAAUGGCGCGAUCUUGGCUCACUGCAACCUCUGCCUCCCGGGUUCAAGCGAUUCUCCUGCCUCAGCCUCCCAAGUAGCUGGGAUUACAGGCAUGCUCCACUACGCCCGGCUACUUUUGUAUUUUUAAUAGAGAUGGGGUUUCUCCAUGUUGAUCAGGCUGGUCUCUAACUCCCGACCUCAGGUGAUCCACGUGCCUCGGUCUCCCAAAGUGAUGGGAUUACAGGCAUCAGCCACUGAGCCCGGCCUGUGCUUUAGUUUUUUUUUGUUUUUGUUUUUGUUUUUCCCUCUUUUUUUCUUUCUUUUUUUUUUUGAGAGGGAGUCUCGCUCUGUUGACCAGGCUGGAGUGCCGUGGCACUAUCUUGGCUCACUGCAAGCUCCGCCUCCUGGGUUCAUGCCAUUCUCCUGCCU
rnacentral:lncRNA from 10 species